ACACGUUCGCGUUGAAAUAAAACUUUCGAGGGGCGAACGCAACGCGCAUUUUAGCAUCCAUCAGUGGAAGUGGGAGGUGGCUUGCCAGCGUUUUUGUUGGGCUCUUUAGAAGAAAUUUCUGAGAAAACCUGUUCCUUCUCGAACAUUGGUAGGGAAUUGCCUUUAUCGCUUUAACCUGGAGCUCCUUCAGCUGUAGCAGAGGCUCUGGUCUCCUCUCAGGUGUGGCUGUAAAGCUGCAGGAGAAGCCAGGUGUGUGCACAGGCCACUGUUGCUGGGCUGUACUGUGCUGCACCCACUGUUCUGGGCAGACAAGUGCUGUGGGAAUGCCUGCACUGCUCCAUCUCUGGGGAUCUGCUCCAGGAACUGUGCAAACUGCUGCUCCUACCAGCCCAGCAUGGAGCCAGGACUCUGUGUCAGUGCUGCUCUGGCUGGCAGCGCAGAACCACAGGGGAGGGGUGACCUGCUGCCUUGCAAAUAAAAGGCUGGGGCUGGUCAAGAAAGCCUCUAAUUCAUGGAGCUCCUUCAGUGGAGAAUGAGCAUCAGUGCUAUGUUGAAGAGAUUGCUUGCUGCCCGUCUUGUGUCGCUGGGCUGAUGUCUGAUAUAGUGUAGCUAGCGCAGCAGUCCCUCUCUCCACAUAAUCAGUUAUCAGGAGGCAGGUCUCUGUGUUAAAGAGUUGUGGUAGCUUGCUCAGACACAGAGGGUAUAAAGAGAUGAGAAGCAGUGUCUGCAUGCUGUAACCAUACACUGCCAUUCUAGCAUGAUCCCCAGGCUGGGUAUCCGAAUAGUAGACGCAGGCCAGUCUUCCCUUGUCCACCCUACCACGUGCUGUGUUCCCAGCACAUCACUAAGCAGACUUGCCUGACUGAGCAACAGAAUGUCAAAAACCAGCUGCCUUAACUGGGUUCCUGCCAUGCUCCUCUAAGUUUGUGGAUAUUUCUGCUAACAUUGUAGUUUGGAGAAAGAGUAUGUCUGCGGUGGAGAACUCACAUUGGCAUUAUAAAAUGUGGGGACUGGAUUGCUCAGCCCUCACAGGGAUCUUGCUUACUACAAAAGCUCCCAAAGCCACCCUUCCCUCAGCUCUUGCUCUGCCAUAGGCUCACUACAGGAUGUGUAUUAUGGAUGCACACACCCUCAUGCACAGCCUGUAUUGUGUGUAUCAAGUCACAAGGCUUGUUUUUUCCUUAAGUAGACCAAGAGAAGUAGGAUACAUUUUCAUUCCUUUGUUCAGUAGAGCUGCACUGAGCAUGCCCUGUCUAGAGGGAAUGUGAUCCUGCUCCAACAGAUUUACAUAACCUUGUUUUUGCCAAGUGCAGGUGCUUUCUCACUGCCUGUUUGCACCUCCACCUCACUUUGAGCAGGACUUCUGGCCACUGGCCAGUUGUCUGUGGUUCCCGGCUGUUUGGGUGAGUGUGCAGGUCAGGCAGGUCAAAACUGUUGCUGGUGAACUGCAGGUAAUAUAAUAAUACAGGUUUUAUUUGCCUGUAGCUCACCCCGUUCUUCUGCUGUUUUUCCACCAGGAGUGUAUCUCCUGCAGCAGGGAUCAGAGUCCAGCGCUUGCCCCUUUCACAUCACCACCUCAGCUGCAGGGCUGCACAACAAGGCUUUCAGGAGCAAGCAUUCCUACCCCACAGCACAGAUCACCUGGGAUGCCAGAGCAGUAGCCCUGCUGUCACUCCUCAUUACAAAAGCAGGUGCAAGCAUUGUUUCUUCUCUACCCAGACCUCAGAGGGAAACACAGCUCGAGUUUGGAAGUCACCGCUCUCGUCAGCAGCUUGUGGUGGGAAGAGGCCAUCAGGCCACCAUCUGAAGACAGCUUCCUUCCACCUGAAUGAGAUAAACAGAGUUACAUCAGAAUUAUUUUAAGAAAUUGUUAAAAGCCCUGGGGGGGAUCAGCUGGCACGUCACUUUGGUCUGUCCAUGACUCACUGUCUCAGCACUCAUGAGCUCGUUGUUUGAUGACAAAGAAAAUGUUCUCCAUUGCCUGAAGAUGCAAACUAGAUUUAAGAAUACAGAUGUUAUCAAGAAGAUGAUUUCUCUUCGGAUUCUUAUCUACUUCGCACUGGCAUGUUGAGCCUUACAUGUGUAUACAUGAAUAAAUGGCCGCAAAGAUA